ACACCUGGGAUGUGCACUCAAGGGCCGGGCCAGCACCGGGAGGGGACUCGCUGGCUGAAGAUCCGCUCCAAAAUGGCCACGGUGAUGGUGAACAGCUUGGGAAGAACCAGGAGAAGGUAAAGAAAUUGAAUUUGGAUUAAAAAGAGCCAGAUCAGUGCUUUCAACAGCGUUGAGAGCGGUCUAUGCUGCGAGGUCCAUGCAGGGCUCAGGGUCCCCUGGAGCACCGGGAAUGAUAAAGAUCAUCUGCUGCAUGGAUCAUCACUGAUCAUUCUCCUGGGUAUUCCACAUAACAUGCUCUUGGAUUUCUAAGGCAUGGGGUAGCACACUUGUGUAACACUGCAACUCAGAAAAGCUGUAACUGCACACUGGAAUAAAGCUCCAGGAGAAGUUUCUA